rnacentral:rRNA from 1 species
GAUGAACGCUGACAGAAUGCUUAACACAUGCAAGUCUUCGGCGAAUCUGUGCUUGCACAGGCUAGCCAAGGCGGACGGGUGAGUAACGCGUAAAGAACUUGCCCUGCAGACAGGGAUAACAGACGGAAACGACUGAUAACACCUGAUACAGUUGCCGGCACGCAUGUGCCUGGCAAUGAAAAGAGAUGCUGCAGGAGAGCUUUGCGUCCUAUUAGCUUGUUGGUGAGGUGACGGCUCACCAAGGCGAUGAUAGGUAGCCGGCCUGAGAGGGUGAACGGCCACAAGGGGACUGAGAUACGGCCCUUACUCCUACGGGAGGCAGCAGUGGGGAAUAUUGGACAAUGGGGGCAACCCUGAUCCAGCAAUUCUGUGUGCACGAAGAAGGUUUUCGGAUUGUAAAGUGCUUUCAGCAGGGAAGAAGAAAGUGACGGUACCUGCAGAAGAAGCGACGGCUAAAUACGUG